rnacentral:rRNA from 1 species
AUACUUAGGGUGCAAGCGUUAAUCGGAAUUACUGGGCGUAAAGCGCACGUAGGCGGAUUGGUCAGUUGGGGGUGAAAUCCCGAGGCUUAACCUCGGAACUGCCUCCAAAACUGCCAGUCUUGAGUUCGAGAGAGGUAAGUGGAAUUCCUAGUGUAGAGGUGAAAUUCGUAGAUAUUAGGAAGAACACCAGUGGCGAAGGCGACUUCCUGGGCCAAUACUGACGCUAAGGUGCGAAAGCGUGGGGAGCAAACAGGAUUAGAAACCCCAGUAGUCC